rnacentral:rRNA from 1 species
CAUGAACGCUAGCUACAGGCUUAACACAUGCAAGUCGAGGGGAAACGAUAUUGGAAGCUUGCUUCCGAUAGGCGUCGACCGGCGCACGGGUGAGUAACGCGUAUCCAACCUGCCCACCACUUGGGGAUAACCUUGCGAAAGUAAGACUAAUACCCAAUGAUAUCUCUAGAAGACAUCUGAAAGAGAUUAAAGAUUUAUCGGUGAUGAAUGGGGAUGCGUCUGAUUAGCUUGUUGGCGGGGUAACGGCCCACCAAGGCGACGAUCAGUAGGGGUUCUGAGAGGAAGGUCCCCCACAUUGGAACUGAGACACGGUCCAAACUCCUACGGGAGGCAGCAGUGAGGAAUAUUGGUCAAUGGGCGAGAGCCUGAACCAGCCAAGUAGCGUGCAGGAUGACGGCCCUAUGGGUUGUAAACUGCUUUUAUAAGGGAAUAAAGUGAGAGUCGUGACUCUUUUUGCAUGUACCUUAUGAAUAAGGACCGGCUAAUUCCGUGCCAGCCGCCGCGGUAACAC